GGGAGAGGAUGUAGUAGUUUCCCCUGUCUACUUUCUCUACCUUCUUUUCUCCUCUACCCUCCCUUUCCAAGCUCAACUUCCUUGACAGUAUUAAGGAAAUACCUUUUUUAGUUACCAAAAUAAGUUGCUCUGUGGAGAAUUUCUGAUGAUCUCAUGGUGAUUUUCCUGCACCCGGAAGACACUUUGCUUUGCUUUGGGACCAUGGAUAUUCCUUGGGGCAGCCACCAAGGAUGAAUAAGGUUUGAAUGGGGAGGCACUGGCCUCGGAGCUCCUUGCUGCUGACAUCAGUUGUGCCCUUGUAGGAGACGUCCUGGUCCUGUCUGCCUCAGAGGCUUCCAUCUGCGGAUUUCCUGAGGUCGUCCCCUUACUCCUCUGCUGCAGUCUCUCUCAACAUUUCAACUGUCUGCUCCAGAAAGUUACUCUGUCACUAAGUAAAAUAAAUACAAACAAAAUAA
rnacentral:lncRNA from 1 species